GUUUGGUAAAUGGGGGGUUUUUAAAGUUUUCGGGCACUAGACUUCGUCCAAGAUGCAGCAGACAGAUGUGACCUGUGGUGAGCAAUACAUCACAUCGAGAAGAUUCUUGCCGUCGUCGCGCUGGAUACUCGAAGAGGAGGACUCUGGUGAGCUUGCCUGAGCUUGUGUCUCUGUGUGCAGUGGCGUUUGUGUGCGUGUGUGUCUGUGCGCCCUGACCGAUGGACGGUGACGAAAUCGUUGCAGAAAGUGGUCGAACCGCUUUUCGAGCUCGGCCAACUGUGUGUAUAGAGAGCGCUGUAGAGGACAUGUCUUCCGUUUUUGGUCAGGAAGCACAAACAACCUCGGCGAUCAAGUUUCUUGUUCGAGCGAGCUUGUGUUGUGGCGCGAUCUUCGCGUUAGGAGACACGAUCUUGGGGAACGCGAAGCGCAUUGUUUACCUUCCGCACGAGUUGGUGACGCAUUCCGUACGUACUGGAGCGAAUGCCGAGAAGCGGCAGCCCACACAACGAACCAUGAGGUCAUUACAUAUUCCAGUCAGUUUCGGAUUCGGUGUACGGCUGGUUAAGUCUCCAGCUAUUCAGACGAAGAUGUAGAGAGCCUCCGCUGUCAGGUUGAUUGGCUAGUAAGUUUAUAGAGUGACUUUGAGUGAUUUGACUUCAGAGUCAGAGCCAUCCGAAGGGUCAACGAUUCGCGAAAUAGAAGGAUCAAGCGUAAAGCAGACAAUGAGAUUUGCUUGCUAAUCUUCCUGGAGUGUAAGAGACGUAACCAAAACUGCAAGAAGAACACUUCCAAAACCUGACACGCAACAUAUUAUUGUCAGCCUCCAUCCACCGCCUAUAUUCGCAAAUCGUUGCGCUAACCUUGACUGAACUCGUGGCUCGCAGUUCGAGCGAAUCUUCGCAAAAAGCAAACGCCACGGAAAUAACCUCACCCAUUGGAUGAAGGUCAUUCUUCCCAUGUCCGUCUGACAGCUGGGUUGAGAUUACAUAAGCGGGAAUUAAGAUUGAUGAUCGAGCAUCAGAAAGCAUCGCGGCAGGGCUUCCCUCCCCGGGCGAAGUACUCGUAGAAUCUUCAGAUCACCGACCGCGAAUAAUCCCCCGAAAGCAGGGAGAACGAUAAUGGAUGCUUGGCUAUUAUUAUGUUCGAAAAAAUGGAGA